rnacentral:lncRNA from 1 species
UCUCCUAGUCUGCCCUGAGAAAAUUCCUUUAAAAGGAUCUGCUGAUCAUACUCCGCAAUUUAUUUUAAAUCGGAAUUGCAGAAAUGACUGUGGAUACAGACACAGCGUAUUAACGAUCCGUCCCAUAUGCUUGUUAAGGAUGGAGAACAAGUUAAAGAAGGCCAGUUAGAAGGUGUGGCGAUGAUCCUGUCAAGAGAUGAUGUGGCCUAAAUCAGAGCAUGGCAAAGGGACUGAUGAAAAAUAGACUUGUGGUAAGGACCAAAUACAAGGAAGGAAGAGAUGUCAACAGGGAUGCCUGGAUGCUAAUGGAGAUGGG